UACGUAGGGUGCGAGCGUUAAUCGGAAUUACUGGGCGUAAAGCGUGCGCAGGCGGUUCGUUGUGUCGGUGGUGAAAGCCCCGGGCUUAACCUGGGAAUGGCCAUGGAAACUGGCGAACUGGAGUGUGGCAGAGGGGGGUGGAAUUCCGCGUGUAGCAGUGAAAUGCGCAGAUAUCAGGAGGAACACCGGUGGCGAAGGCGGGUCUCUGGGCCGAUAUUGACGCUGAGGAGCGAAAGCGUGGGGAGCGAACAGG
rnacentral:rRNA from 1 species